rnacentral:rRNA from 1 species
ACGGAAGGCAGCAGUGGGGAAUAUUGCACAAUGGGGGAAACCCUGAUGCAGCAACGCCGCGUGAGUGAAGAAGUAUUUCGGUAUGUAAAGCUCUAUCAGCAGGGAAGAUAAUGACGGUACCUGACUAAGAAGCCCCGGCUAACUACGUGCCAGCAGCCGCGGUAAUACGUAGGGGGCAAGCGUUAUCCGGAUUUACUGGGCGUAAAGGGAGCGCAGGCGGUAACGCAAGCCAGAGGUGAAAACCCGGGGCUUAACCCCGAGGAUUGCAUUUGGAACUGUGGAACUGGAGUGCUGGAGGGGCAGGCGGAAUUCCUGGUGUAGCAGUGAAAUGCGUAGAUAUCAGGAGGAACACCGGUGGCGAAGGCGGCCUGCUGGACAGUAACUGACGCUGAGGCUCGAAAGCGUGGGGAGCAAACAGGAUUAGAUACCCUGGUA